CAGCAGCCGCGGUAAUACGUAGGUCCCGAGCGUUGUCCGGAUUUAUUGGGCGUAAAGCGAGCGCAGGCGGUUAGAUAAGUCUGAAGUUAAAGGCUGUGGCUUAACCAUAGUACGCUUUGGAAACUGUUUAACUUGAGUGCAAGAGGGGAGAGUGGAAUUCCAUGUGUAGCGGUGAAAUGCGUAGAUAUAUGGAGGAACAUCGGUGGCGAAAGCGGCUCUCUGGCUUGUAACUGACGCUGAGGCUCGAAAGCGUGGGGAGCAAACAGGAUUAGAUACCCGUGUAGUCCCUGUCUCUUAUACA
rnacentral:rRNA from 1 species